rnacentral:rRNA from 1 species
ACUCCUACGGGAGGCAGCAGUGGGGAAUAUUGCACAAUGGGCGCAAGCCUGAUGCAGCCAUGCCGCGUGUAUGAAGAAGGCCUUCGGGUUGUAAAGUACUUUCAGCAGUGAGGAAGGUGGGUAUGUUAAUAGCAUAUUCUAUUUGUACGUUAGCUGCAGAAGAAGCACCGGCUAACUCCGUGCCAGCAGCCGCGGUAAUACGGAGGGUGCGAGCGUUAAUCGGAAUUACUGGGCGUAAAGCGCAUGCAGGUGGUUGUUAAGUCAGAUGUGAAAGCCCGGGGCUCAACCUCGGAAUUGCAUUUGAAACUGGCAAACUAGAGUACUGUAGAGGGGGUAGAAUUUCAGGUGUAGCGGUGAAAUGCGUAGAGAUCUGAAGGAUACCGGUGGCGAAGGCGGCCCCUGGACAGAUACUGACACUCAGAUGCGAAAGGCUGGGAGC